rnacentral:rRNA from 1 species
CAGCCGUAAACUAUGCGCGUUAGGUGUAUCGGUGACCACGAGUCACCGAGGUGCCGAAGGGAAACCGUGAAACGUGCCGCCUGGGAAGUACGGUCGCAAGGCUGAAACUUAAAGGAAUUGGCGGGGGGAGGCACCACAACGGGUGGAGCCUGCGGUUUAAUUGGACUCAACGCCGGGAAGCUCACCGGAUAAGACAGCGGAAUGAUUGCCGGGCUGAAGACUCUGCAUGACUAGCUGAGAGGAGGUGCAUGGCGUAGACGUCU